rnacentral:misc_RNA from 1 species
GGCUUUUGCAAAUAUGACAAAGUUGAACUUAGAAAAAUGCUAAAAAUGCUAACUUUAAAAGUGAAGCCAUCCUCAAAUCUGAACUGAGGAGAUGCCACAAAAAGAAAAGAAGUACGGCUCUCGCUUACCAGCCCAUAACACCACUAUCUAAGCACUGGCUAUCUAAAUUAUUCUUUUCUAAUGAACCUCAACACGGAUUAAAAAACCAAACACUUUCAAAGGGAUGGUGUUGGCUCUUGAUUCUCUUCUAUCCUCCCAUGCACCCAGUUCUGGGAAUCUGAUGUUCUCGGGAAUCAUCACAGAAAGGUAUGGCCAUUCCACAAUGAUAAGUAAAUUAAACUUUCCAUUUUCAGGGGUAAAACCAUGUUUUUACUAGGAAAAAUUGCACCCAUGAGAUUUGAUACAUAUGCUUUCAUUUUCUAGUGUUUCAAAAUUAGUUACUUUCAUUCUUGAAAUUUUAAUUUUUAAUUAUAUUUUAAUCUCUAAAUUUUUAUAUUGUAUUAAAA